AACGAACGCUGGCGGCAGGCCUAACACAUGCAAGCCGAACGCGCGUAGCAAUACGCGAGUGGCGCACGGGUGAGUAACACGUGGGAACCAACCCAGAGGUUCGGAAUAACCGCGGGAAACUGCGGCUAAUACCGGAUGUCCCCCAUGGGGGAAAGAUUUAUCGCCUCUGGACGGGCCCGCGUCCGAUUAGCUAGUUGGUGAGGUAACGGCUCACCAAGGCUACGAUCCGUAACUGGUCUGAGAGGACGACCAGUCACACCGGAACUGAGACACGGUCCGGACUCCUACGGGAGGCAGCAGUGGGGAAUAUUGGACAAUGGGCGAAAGCCUGAUCCAGCGACGCCGCGUGGGUGAAGAAGGCCUGCGGGUUGUAAAGCCCUUUCAGUGGG
rnacentral:rRNA from 1 species